UACAGGGGGUGCAAACGUUGCUCGGAAUCAUUGGGCGUAAAGCGCACGUAGGCGGUUCGUUAUGUCGGAUGUGAAAGCCCUUGGCUUAACCGAGGAAGUGCAUCCGAAACUGGCGAGCUAGAGUACGAAAGAGGAUCGCGGAAUUCCCGGUGUAGAGGUGAAAUUCGUAGAUAUCGGGAGGAACACCGAUGGCGGAGGAGGCGCUCUGGGGCAGAUACGUGACGCUGAGGCGACGAACGGGUGG
rnacentral:rRNA from 1 species